rnacentral:rRNA from 1 species
GACGAAGGGGGCUAGCGUUGUUCGGAAUUACUGGGCGUAAAGCGAGUGUAGGUGGUUGUCCAAGUUGGAUGUGAAAGCCUUGAGCUCAACUCAAGAAAUGCAUUCAGGACUGGGCGGCUAGAGGACCGGAGAGGAUAGUGGAAUUCCCAGUGUAGUGGUGAAAUACGUAGAGAUUGGGAGGAACACCAGUGGCGAAGGCGGCUAUCUGGACGGUUUCUGACACUAAGACUCGAAAGCGUGGGGAGCAAACAGG